AAAAAAAAAAACACAUUAAAGAAAGUAUAAAUCAAUAAAGACUUCGUCUCUGGACGUAACACCCCCACCCAUAGUUACAAACUAUGAUUUCUCUUGGUUUGUAAAAGAGAAAAACAAAACUUACCACACAUUUUAUGAGCGUUUAGUCAUCAGUAUGAGCCCUUGAUAAAGCAUCUGCUACUACAUUGUCCACUCCUUUUUUAUACCUUAUCUCAAGAACAAACUCUUGCAGAAUAAGAGACCAUCUCAUUAAUCUCUGGUUUGAGUUUGCCAUACGAGACAGGAAGACGAGAGGGUUGUGAUCAGUGUAUACAAUGAUAGGGCCCAUACUACCAUUACACAAGUAGACCUCAAAAUUCUGCAGUGCCAACAACAAGGCGAGAGCUUCCUUUUCGAUGGUACUGUAGUUUCUUUGGCACCUGGUGAAUUUCUUCGAAAAAUAGCAAAGUUCUUACAAAAGCCACGGUAGUACCCUGUCAUCCCCAGAAAACGGCGUAACUCCCGCUUGUUACAUGGCCGUGGGAAAUCCAUAAUAGCCUCUAUCUUAGCUUGCACAGGCCUCACUUGGCCCUGGCCAACUAAUUUGCCGAGGUAGGUCACUCUUGCCUUAGCAAAUUCACACUUAGCUAAGUUUAAGGUAAGAUGGGAUUCCAGCAAUCGUUUAAACACCAACUCAAGAGUUUGUGCAUGUUCUUCCCACGUUGCAGAGUAGAUAACUAUGUCGUCUAAGUACACUUCACAGUUAGGCACACCUGACAGUACCUUCAGCAUCAACCGCUGGAAUGUUGCUGGUGCAUUUCGCAUGCCAAAAGCCAUAGAUGUGUACUGUAAGAAACAAUCGGGGGUCACAAACGCUGAGAUUUCUGAGGCACGGGGUGUCAAAGGAACUUGCCAGUAUCCUUUUAAUAAAUCUAGCUUUGUAACAAAGCUAGCUGAUCCCACUCGGUCAACACAGUCCUCAAUUCGAGGAAGAGGAAAGGAAUCAGGCUUAGUUACAGAAUUCACCUUCCUGAAAUCAGUACAAAAUCGCCACGAUCCAUCAGGUUUGGGUACAAGCAAGCACGGUGAACUCCACGGACUUUGACUUGGCACUGCAAAGCCGUGAGUCAACAAAUAUUCUACCUCAGUUUUCAUAACCUGGCGCUUAUUGGGAUUUGCACGGUACGGAUGCUGUUUAAUAGGCCUGCAUUCACCAACAUCAAUAUCAUGAGUGACCUCGGUAGUUUGUGAUGGUACAUCAUUAAACAGCAUAUGAUACUUUUCAAUUAGCUGGACCACACGAUCACACUGGGAUGCAGGCAGAUACGAUAGAUGUGACUGCAAGUUAGACAAGAUGGCAGAGUUAGACAGUGUACCACAUGAAGCAAUGGCAUCUUUACUCCAAAGACCAUCUAAAUCAGGAGUGUACACAGGAGACAAGUUAACAGCAGUGUUAGCAACAACAGGAAGAAGGUCAACAGGAUCAUGCUGAGACUUAACACCAUCUCUACUAAUGUAAGCCUUAAGCAUAUUGAUGUGGCACACACGAGUCUUACGCUUACGAUCGGGAGUAGAAACUGCAUAAUUUGUGUCAUUCAACUUCUCAAUCUGAUAAGGUCCAGAAAAUCUUGCCUGCAGAGGUGAGCCAGGCAGAGGAAGCAGUAUUAAGACCUUGUCACCAGGCUGGAAAUUACGCUGAAGACUACCCUUGUCAUAGCGAAGUUUCAUUUUGGACUGGGCUUCAGCAAGAUGAACUCUAGCUAACUCCCACGCUUUGUGUAGAUGCUCCCGUACAGUACUCACAUAGUCUAGCGCAGACUUACGAGGAGAUUCCCUAGCUAGAAACUGCUCACUUAGAAGUUUUAAUGGGCCACGAACUGAAUGGCCAAAAACCAGCUCAGCAGGGCUAAAUCCCAGGGAUUCUUGAACGG
ensembl:lncRNA